rnacentral:lncRNA from 1 species
UAUGUUGAGUGUUAGACCGUGAGUUUGCUCCGAACCCACCGAGUUGGAGGCUGAGUAUGAUCCAUCAUUAAUUAAUAUUUUGGAUUGCUAUAUAAAUAGCCUCAUUUACUUUCAUAAUUGGUCUCAAUUAUCAUGAUGAGUAAUGCUAUGACUCCCAAAUGGUAUUGAAGAAAUAGUUAUAUGCCAUGUGGCAUUUAGUAACAACAAUUAAAUUCCCAUCACCAAAAGGUAAACUUUAUCGUACCCUC